rnacentral:rRNA from 1 species
GACAGAGGUGCCGAGCGUUAGGCGGAAUCACUGGGCUUAAAGCGUGUGUAGGCGGCCCGUUAAGUGCCUCGUGAAAUCCCCCGGCUCAACCGGGGAACUGCCGGGCAUACUGGCGGGCUUGGGUCGCUCAGGGGCAGACGGAACAGGCGGUGGAGCGGUGAAAUGCGUAGAUAUUGGGAAGAACACCGAUGGCGAAGGCAGCCAUCUGGACCGGCACUGACGCUGAGGCGCGAAAGCGUGGGGAGCAAACAGG